GCUUCUGCGAGUGAAGUGCAAAAGCCGGUGCUCAGGAUGCUAUCGAGCGGCGGUUCUAGGACCCUUUUGAGUUGCGAUUUUUAUUAUUCUUCAGAAAAUGGGAAAGCAAAUGUACAUCAGAAUCUGGGGAGCCUGUAGUUCAAUCCUAGGCAUGCCUGCUCGGAAUCAAGUCCCCGUAUAUGUACAGAAAUGGGACUUUCCUCCCUAAGUUUUGUGCAGAAUUUCGGUAACUACAGUUGAAUACAGUAAACCUGUGUAGCGUUGCUCGUUCUUAAAUACGUGAAUACAAAGAGGCAUUUGCUAGUGAUUUGUUUUUUUGUUUGAUUAAAGGCUUCCUCGUGUACCUAGACGGCAGUUGGCGGUGUGGCAUAGGUCUCACUACGAUUCUCAAAGGAGGUUUAAGCAGUUAUGUAUAGGGGAAAACAGGGAACUCAACCUUAGUUCAAUUUGUGAUCAGCUCUUAAUUGGAUCAGGACAUGGAGCAGGUAUGGGAAAAUAAGAGGAAGGAAUAAUUUAACCUGAACUCUCAGUGUCCCUCGGUGUUUCCCUCGGUGUCCAAUAAGAGAAUGUUAGCGCCCCACUUUUUUCAAUCAAGUGUUCACCCAGUGUUUACUCUCUGUUGGGGUUCACCACUGUUGUUACUCAAAACUAAAAAAUGUUUACACUAGCACAUUGUUGUUGUUGUUUAGUCGUUUAGUCGUGUCCGACUCUUCGUGACCCCAUGGACCAGAGCACUCCAGGCACUCCUGUCUUCCACUGCCUCCCACAGUUUGGUCAGACACUAGCACAUUACAUCAUUGCUAACCACUUAGACAUCACUCCUCCCCAAAGAUGAAACGUGUUAGCAAAAAAAAGGGGGGGGGGCACAAAUUUGCACAUCCUGAUUUAUCUAAAUCUAUGCACUUCUCAUAACAAGUACUACAGUUUAUAUUGAAAUGCAAUACAUUUCACCAUAGUGGAGAAGACUGUGACCUAGGAGCAUGCCUAGUCUGCUGUCCAGCUUCUAACAUUCAAUGGGCAACUUCAGGACCCCACCCUCCUUUCUGAUAGUUCUUUAUCUUUAAUCUGAGUUGGACCAAAUAGCCCUUUAAAUAGAGGACUCAUCAAUUGGAGGACUGCCCUGACAGUCAUUCAUUGCCUAUUAUCUCUUCUGAGCACAACCCUGAAGGACAGUUUUCAUAGGUGCGGUUUUUUAGGGAAAUGAUCUCAUGGGCCAAAUUUGGCACCCUCGAAGGCCAAAAUUGACCCAUGGGCUGGAGGUUCUUUACCCUGGGAUAAUAUAAUCCACUAUUGUUUACCUGUCAGUUUUCCCCUUAAAACCACUUCUGCCUCCAAUUAGUCAUUAUCAUGUAAACAAACCCAGAACUGCUUCAAAUUACAAGGGCUAUGUAGACAAGCUCUCAAUAAACACAAGUGCAGGAAGCAAUUCUAGCAUUAGAGGCUGAAGGAAGUGUAUUUUGUAUCACAUCUGUAAACCAGGAUGAUGAUGACAUAGAAUAGAUAAGACAGACAUAUGAUUAGUGAGUAGGGACAGGGAAUGUGUAGAAAGCUUUUCUCUCUGCUUCCAAGAAUUAGGCAUAAAUGUACUUCCUUUGAAGGUUAGUUAUUAUAGCAAAUGGUUUACAGGCAUGGUUAGGUUGCGUUCCAGAUUGUAUGUGGGUGUGAGAAAGCAUAUGUUUUCCUUUCAGUCUUAAUCAUAGAAAUGUCUCGUUUCUUUGAAGGAAAUGAAUUUUAGUCAUUAGAAUUCAAAUCACUUUGCUACAUGAAGUUACUGAAAUGUUGUCUAUACCACACACAAAGCUUACAUGAUGAGCUCACUUUUUGCUCCUCUAGUUUCACAGAAGUGUUUUGAAAAUUCUAUUAUGUGUCUUCCAAGCCAAAUUAUGAAAAUGAGUGACACAGGCUAUGUCACUAUUGCAGCAACAUCACAGAGAGUGGCUUCCUAUAUUUAGCAACUCUACGUUGCAAUUCUGUUGCAAAUACAUAAUGAAAGGUUGUUUCCAAAUAAAAUGCACAUACACACAUGCUGACGUAUGUGACUUCAGAAAGUCUUUGGACAACUAAUACUGUUUUGUAACUAAGCCAAAGUACACGUAAUCGAAAUAAUCACAUAUCCUCCCCCCAACGCUUAUCACCACUUCCCUUCUCUUGCUUCUCUAUGUCUGUUUUUCUCCUGGGGUGGGGAUCUGACCUGUUCAUUAUGUAUGGAUGGAUGCCACUAAAUAGAUUAUAUGGCAGGUAUAUCUGUGCCUGCAAAAGGACAAUUUUGAGCAUUAUAGUGUGCUCCCAGUUGAUCCUCUGUAAGUAGGAGUUGAAUUCAGCACCUUUUAAAUUUGUCACCAAAUACAAGCUCUGCCAGGUGUUUAGGAGCUCCUGAUCAGGGCUUCUAAAUGCAUCUGAUCCCAGCCACAAGUUGGAUUUGCUCAAGGUGCUGAAUUUAAGUUUAGCACUGCAUACAAGCCAUGCUGGACUUAGCUGCAUGCAGGAAAUUGCACAUUUCCCACACGUAGCUGAUUGAGGGCAGCUGAUCCCUUUCACAAGCAAUAGUUUGCCCUUUUGGUUUAUGCACUGCUAUUUUAAGUUCCAGUGUCAGUUAAUGAAAAGUAAAUCCCUUGGCCAUUGUAGGUUUGAGAACCAGAACAGAAUCCAGUUUAAGUUUCAAUAACAUUCGUAGAUGAUUACUGAGGGAAGUUCCAUUGAAUUCAGUCAAAUUUACUUCUGAGUAAAUAUACAUAGAAUAGGGCUGCUAGCUAGCAUGAUACACUUGCAUCCAAACUUGUACCUUCACUGUAAAACUGGUAUAUCAAUUUCUAUCUGUGUAAAGCCAUAUUUUAUUAUGUGCUGCAGCAAAACAGUUUUACACUCUUCCACAAGUAUUAAAUCAGCUUGAGAGGCUUUUGGAUCUGCUCCUUCAAUAACACUGCUCCUUCUCUCUUAUUCCACCACAAUAAUAGUCCUUUUUUAUUCUAUGGACAUGAACAAACAAAUAAAGAAAUCAGAAAGUCUCCCACACACUGCCUAUUUUGGUCGUUGUCAGUUUGCUUAUUUAUUUUCCAUUCUGUAAUUGUUUCUGGUUGAAGAAACCUGAAGAAAAGAUUAUGAUGACUAAUAGAUUUGCACAUUAUCAAUGCUCAAACACCCCCAUAAACUGCUCUAGUAAAAUUAGUAGGAUGAGCAGUUGUUGUCAUGCUUUUAUUCCAAUGACAACUGUAAAUGAAUUCUAAGGCUUUGUUCACAUAGAAUUUGUCUAUAAUAUUCAGAGAGGCGGGCAGCUGACUGAGCACAAGAACAGCAAAUCUUAGGAAGAGGAGGAGGCAGAAAGAAGGAAAACAGAUUUUCCCUUCCAUUCUGGGUAUGUACAUCUCUACUUGAGAUAAAGCAGCAUAGCACCUGUUACCUUAUCUUAUCAAUAUACAGCUAUCAUGAUAUUUUCUUAAUUUGCAUUCUUCAUUCUUACCUGAAAAAUUUAAUUUUAAAGAAAUCAUUCACAAAUGUUCCCUGGGCUCAGUAGCCAGUUGCUUCUAGUAGCCAAUGAAACUAGACUUUCUCACUUUCUAUAUAUUUUAUUUCCUUCAUCCACAUAUUCCCUUCCAAUAGACUAUUUUAAAAUAAUGCUUACAGC